CUUGGAAGGGGAGCCUCAGGCGAAGAAUUCCACUAAGUGGGAGCAGACCCAGGUAUUGUGGGACCUGACACUAAUUCCUUUUGGUGGUCCCUCUUUAAGAAAAGAAUACAGGCCCUACCCCCCAGUGACCUAAAAGCAGACAGUGGGGAUCUUGGUGGCAUGGAGCAGGGCUCCCCCCCGUGGAUGCCUGGUUCCAAACUUCAGAGGCACAGGGGGUAAUAAAGGCCAUUGUCCUGAGCUCCAGAAGAUAGAGCAGAAGUGAACAGAAAGAGGGCCUCUCUCAAGCUCCUUGAAGAAAACGGAAGCCCACUGGAAAAGUGAAGAGAAUCUCUGCAAUAAAGGCACUGCAGACCACCGUACUUGGUUCUUCAGAAGCUCGACUACAGUGGAGGAGAUGGAAGAAACAGAAAGGACAGAGAAACACACCAGUGAACUAUGGCUUGUAAUGAGAGAAUUUUGAAACAAAUAGAUAAUGAUUCUCACAAAUGUCUAUUAAGCAAACAUUUCCAAUUCGUCCCAUUCAUCUUCUCUUUCUGGUCCAUAGCUGCAUUCAGUACCCCAUCCAGCAUGAGGCCUUUGUCCCUGCUCAUAGGGUGCCCCAUGUUCCAGAGCUCACACCCUCUGACCACCAGUGCUCCAUCCACUCCUUUUGGUGGCCACAUCUCUGCUUUAUUUUGCUCUUGCCUUUCCUCUCCUCUACCACAUGAUUGUGAUGUCUAGCUUCUUUGAAUCCUGGACAUAACCUUUCUUCUCAACAACCUCAAAUAUUUCCCUCUCAGUUAGGACAAAGCAGGCCUCAUCUCUCCCACAUCUUUGUGUUCUGAUCAAGACAAGAUCCAGAUGUUAACUAUCUUUGCCCCUUUACAUCUAUAAAGCUUAAGCCGCAACUGCAUAGCUGGCUUAAUGACACACUAUUAGACUCAGUUUUCAGUCACGCAAGCCACCUGAUUCCAAGCAAAACUCAACCAACAUAACAUUCUGUGAGAGAAAAGAUGGAUAUUCAUUCCAGAAAGGGAAAGCUACACUAAUAAUCAAGACUUGUGUGGGACUGGGGAAAAAAGAAGAAUCAAGAUAAAUCAUGUACAGGUACAAAUUCCCUAUGGUGAAUGUGAUUGUUAUGUAUAUCUAAAAUAUACCAAUAAAAUUAAUUUUUAAAAAAGACUGGGGCACCUUUCAAACUACAGCACAAGUUCUCACCAGUCUUUCUCCCCACAGCUGUAAAGCAGAGGUACUAGCCCUAAAGCUUAGGCCCAUAUUAAUCAGCCUGUCAGAAAAAGAAAGAAGACUGAAAAGCAAACGAUUGAUCAGCUAUUUCCCACAGAAGCUACUCCCAGAAUUUCUAUACUGACUCAGCAGGAAGCAAGAUGACUCAGGUAGGAUGGAAGCUGGAAGCCAAGAAAGGAGCCACCUAGAGCACUUUCCCAGCACCUGUGGAGAGGUGUACGGAGGCGCACUUCUCAAGCCACUUGCCUCAAAGGACCAGAGACCCACCUGGAGAGGAUUAGAGAUUUUAAAAUUAUGAGG
rnacentral:lncRNA from 1 species